GGCUGGUUACCAAGGUUACCGCCGAGAGGCCGCGUCCUCAGCUGGUCCUAGACAUGCGUGGCGUCGGGGCUGUGGCACGGUCGGGUCCGGGCUUGAAUGCACCAAGGAAAGGCCAUUUGUGGGGACAUAGCAAGAAGGCAGCUGUCUGCAAGCCAGGAGGAGAACCCUCACCAGAAACCUCACAGAAAUCGGCCAACACCCUCAUCUCGGGCUUCCAGCUUCAGAACAACGAGAAAACAAAUUUCUGUUGUGUCCUGGUUCCCAUUUGUAAUUGGCACCCUAAUGAAACCGUUUUCUGUAGCCCUGGAAAUGGCUGAAAAUGAGGGGAGGGAAAUAAAGUGCUAUAAUUCAGAGCAUGGAGCACACCUUCCUGGUUCACCUGAGCUGGAUUCGGAGAGGUAAAAUGGCCAUUACCUCGUCUAAGCUGCCACUUACAGACACAGUACAGGAUGAGGCCCAGACCCACAGAGACAACGAUGAUGGCCACAGCUAAGAUGAUCCAGAAAUUAUUCCUCCACCAGCUCAUUGCAGUGGAAUCCUGAGAAGAAUGGAGAGAGAAGAAUGAGCUUCUUGCAUGACUGCCUGAAAUCCGCCUCCUGUCAGAUCAGCAGGGGCAUUGGAUUAUGAUAGGAGUGAGAACACCAUUGUGGACUGCGCAUGCCAGGGAUCUAGGUUCCGCGCUCCUUAUGAGAAUCUGAUGCCUGAUGAUCUGUCACUGUCUCCCAUCACCCCCAGAUGGGACUGUCUAGUUGAAGAAAAACAAGUUCAGGGCUCCCACUGAUGCUACGUUACGGUGAGUUGUAUAAUUAUUUCAUUAUAAUUACAAUGUAAUGAUAAUAGAAAUAAAGGGCACAAUAAAUAUAAUGAGCUUGAAUGAUCCUGAAACCAUACUCUGCUGCUCCAUGGAAAAAUUGUCUUCCAUGAAAUCAGUCCCUGGUGCCACAAAACUAGUCCCCGAUGCUGCCCUAGAGUUUAUAUACUGCACAGCUUUCUGACGAAACACAAACUUCCCUCUCUAUGAGAGAUGGCUGAGGCUGAGAAAUUCGAAAGAAGAUCAGGUCAGUAGACCUUUUUUUUUUUUUUUUCAGACAGAGUCUCACCCUGUCGCCCAGGCUAGAGUGCAGUGGUGAGAUCUCAGCUCACUGCAACCUCCGCCUCCUGUGUUCAAGCGAUUCUCCAGCCUCAGCCUCCCAAGUAGCUGGGACUACAGGUGUGUGCCACCACGCCUGGCUAAUAUUUUUGUAUUUUUAGUAGAGACAGGGAGGGUUUCACCAUAUUGGCCAGGAUGGUCUCGAUCUCCUGACCUUGUGAUCUGCCUGCCUCCCAAAGUGCUGGGAUUACAGGUGUGAGGCACUGCUCACACCCUUUUUUUUUUUUUUUUUUUUUUUUUUUUUUUUUUUUGUGAUGGUCUCACUCUGUUGCCCAGGCUGUGGAGUGGCAUGAUCAUGGUUCACUACAGCCUCAAACUCCUGGCCUCAAAUGAGCCUCCCACCAUAGCCUCCCAAUAGCUGGGACUAUAGCCAUGAGCCACCCUGCCUGGCCAGGUCAGUAGAACUUCUGAGAGAAAAGGGGCUUCAGGAGCAGUUUGUAGACCAAGAACAAGAGCCCUCAUAUUUCUGAGAGAUACUAGAGCUUCCGCUGCUAGAUUGUUACCUAUAACCUGGGUUUCCUGCUGAAUUUGGCAAUGAACCUCUUUGAUGUGAUAGAUCUCAGGGCUUGCGUCAGGGACAGCCAGGAAGGGAGGAGGCAGAAAGCAAGGCUGGAUCCCAGAGACUCUGUGGGCAAGAAGCCUCUCAAAGCCACAAGGCAGGGCCCCCGUAGAGCGGGAGCAGCCUUUGAUAUUCUCCAGGCCAGGGAGGCCUUUGCAUUCCAGAACUGAACCGGAAAAGACAAGGUUACCUCAAAGGAGUCCCAGGGAUUCCCUAAAGAAGGACUCUGGGGAGUCUGUGAGGGAAUUCCAGCUGCGUGGGGGCAUCCUGGAGCCCUCACGAAAAAAGGUGUGGGGAGCUCUGCCCACGGUCUCUGCCCUGUCACUCCCAAAGCUGAGUGGGGAGAAGAACCCACUUCAAUCGGGCGCGGUGGCUCACGCCUGUAGUCCCAGCACUUCGGGAGGCCGAGGCGGGUGGAUCACGAGGUCAGGAGUUCAAGACCAGCCUGGCCAAUAUGGUGAAACCCUGUCUCUACUAAAAAAAAUACAAAAAUUAGCUGGGCGUGGAGGCGCGCGUCUGUAAUCCCAACUACUCGGGAGGCUGAGGCAGGAGAAUCGCUUGAAUCCAGGAGGCGGAGUUUGCAGUGAGCCGAGAUCGCACCACUGCAUUCCAGCCCGGGGGACAGAGCGAGACUCCGUCUCAAAAAAAAAAAAAAAAAAAGUACACACUUCAGUACCCACUGAACUGAAGAGAGUUUCAAAAAGUUACAGCCUGGCUGGUGCUGCCAAACCCUGCCUCUACCUUCAUCCAGACUCGUCCUGGGAUGCUCAGUAGAUAUUAUAAAUUGCCAAAAGGUUGGAAACAUUCUCACUUCUACCACCAGAUGGCGGCCAUCAUCCCUUCAUCGGCUAAUUGUUAAACCAGACAAGAAGCCCUUAUACCCGCAUCUCACACCCAUUAGGAUGGCUACUAGACAUACACACACACACACACACACACAGAGAGAGAGAGAGAGAGAGAGAAAGAGAAAGAGAAGAGAGAGAGAGAGAGAGAGAGACAAAGAAUCUGCCUGUGCACUCUUGGUGGGCAUGUAAGAUGGCACAACUGCUAUGGAAAACAGUAUGGAAGUUCCUCAAAAAUUAAGAUUCCAUGUGAUCCAGCAGCAAUUCCACUUCUGGGUCUGUACUCCAAAGAAUUGAAAGCAGGAGCUCAAAGAGAUAUUUGUACAUCCAUGUUCAUAGCAGUGUUAUUCACAAUAGCCAAAAUGUGGAAGCAACCCAAGUAUCCACCAAUGAAUGAAUGGAGACACAAAAUGUGGUUAUAGAAAUACAAUGGAGGCCCGGCGCCGUGGCUCACACCUGUAAUCCCAGCACUUUGGGAAGCCGAGGCAGGUGGAUCACCUGAGGUCAGGAGUUCCAGACCAGCCUGGUCAACAUGGUGAAACCUCGUCUCUACUAAAAAUACAAAAAUUAGCCUGGCUUGGUGGUGGGCGCCUGUAAUUCCAGCUACUUGGGAGGCCGAGGCAGGAGAAUCGCUUGAACCCAGGAGGCAGAGCUUGCGGUGAGCCGAGAUCGCGCCACUGUACUCCAGCCUGGGUGACAGAGUGAGAUUCCAUCUCAAUUAAAAAAAAAAUACAGUGGAAUAUUAUUCAGCCUUAAUAAGAGAGGAAGUUCUGGUACAUGCGACACCAGGAAUGAAUCUGGAGGAUGCAAUACUAAAGUGAAGCAAGCCAGACAUAAAAAAUAAACAUUGUGCCUGAGCGCGGUGGCUCACGCCUGUAAUCCCAGCACUCUGGGAGGCCGAAGCAGGCAGAUCACUUGAGGUCAGGAGUUUGAGACCAGCCUGGUCAACAUGGUGAAACCCCGUCUCUACUAAAAAUACAAAAAUUAGCUGGGCAUGGUGGUGCAUGCCUGUAAUCCCAGCUACUCAGGAGUCUGAGGCAGGAGAAUCACUUGAACCCGGGAGGCAGAAGUUGCAGUGAGCUGAGAUCGUGCCACUACACUCCAACCUGGGUGACAGAGCGAGAUUCUGUCUUUAAAAAAAAAAAAUUGUAUGAUUCCACUUAUAUUGAGGUACCUAAAAUUGGCAAAUUCAUACAAAGAGAAAGUAGAAUGAUGGUUGCCAAGUGCUGGCGGAAGGGGAAAAAAAUUCGUUGGUAAAAUUGGAAUCAUAUUUCACACAUCAAAACUAAUUCCAGAUUUUAGUUAAAAUUUAAAUGUAAAAAAAUAAAACAAAUAUUCUUAAAUAUUCAUGUCAUGAAUAGUAAAUAUAAUUUGUCUUCUUUAUGAUUUUCUUUUUUCUUUUUCUUUCUUUCUUUUUUUUUUUUUGAGAGAGUUUCGCUCUUGUUGCCUCAGGCUGGAGUGCAAUGGCGUGAUCUCAGCUGACUGUAACCUCUGCCUCCCGGGUUCAAGUGAUUCUCCUGCCUCAGCCUCCUGAGUAGCUGGGAUUACAGGCAUGCGCCACCGCACCCGGCUAAUUUUGUAUUUUUAGUAGAGAUGGGGUUUCUCCAUGUUGGUCAGGCUGGUCUCGAACUCCCGACCUCAGGUGAUCCACCCACAUCGGCCUCCUAAAGUGCUAAGUGCUAGGAUUACAGGUAUGAUGAGCCAUUGCACCUGGCCUUUUUUUUUUUUUUUUUUUUGAGACGGAAUCUUGCUGUGUCGCUCAGGCUGGAGUACAGUGGUGCAAUCUCUGCCCACUGCAACCUCUGCCUCCCAGGUUCAAGCAAUUCUCCUGCCUCUGCCUCCCAAAUAGCUUGGAUUACAGGAGCCCACCACCAUGUCCGACUAAUUUUUGUAUUUUUGGUAGAGAUGGAGUUUUGCCAUGUUGGUCAGGUGGUCUCGAAUUCCUGGCCUCAAGUAAUCUGCCUGCCUCAGCCUCCCAAAGUGCUGGGAUUAGAGGUGUGAGCCACUGCACCUGGCCUAUGAUUUUCUUAAUAACAUUUUCUUUUCUCUAUCUUACUUUACUGUAAGAAUACAGUAUAUAAUACAUAUAACA
rnacentral:lncRNA from 1 species